AGGUUCGUGAUUUAACAUGCAAGUCGAACGCGUUGGUCCAAUUGAUUGAUGGUGCUUGCACCUGAUUGAUUUUGGUCGCCAACGAGUGGCGGACGGGUGAGUAACACGUAGGUAACCUGCCCAGAAGCGGGGGACAACAUUUGGAAACAGAUGCUAAUACCGCAUAACAGCGUUGUUCGCAUGAACAACGCUUAAAAGAUGGCUUCUCGCUAUCACUUCUGGAUGGACCUGCGGUGCAUUAGCUUGUUGGUGGGGUAAUGGCCUACCAAGGCGAUGAUGCAUAGCCAAGUUGAGAGACUGAUCGGCCACAAUGGGACUGAGACACGGCCCAUACUCCUACGGGAGGCAGCAGUAGGGAAUCUUCCACAAUGGGCGCAAGCCUGAUGGAGCAACACCGCGUGAGUGAAGAAGGGUUUCGGCUCGUAAAGCUCUGUUGUUAAAGAAGAACACGUAUGAGAGUAACUGUUCAUACGUUGACGGUAUUUAACCAGAAAGUCACGGCUAACUACGUGCCAGCAGCCGCGGUAAUACGUAGGUGGCAAGCGUUAUCCGGAUUUAUUGGGCGUAAAGAGAGUGCAGGCGGUUUUCUAAGUCUGAUGUGAAAGCCUUCGGCUUAACCGGAGAAGUGCAUCGGAAACUGGAUAACUUGAGUGCAGAAGAGGGUAGUGGAACUCCAUGUGUAGCGGUGGAAUGCGUAGAUAUAUGGAAGAACACCAGUGGCGAAGGCGGCUACCUGGUCUGCAACUGACGCUGAGACUCGAAAGCAUGGGUAGCGAACAGGAUUAGAUACCCUGGUAGUCCAUGCCGUAAACGAUGAGUGCUAGGUGUUGGAGGGUUUCCGCCCUUCAGUGCCGGAGCUAACGCAUUAAGCACUCCGCCUGGGGAGUACGACCGCAAGGUUGAAACUCAAAGGAAUUGACGGGGGCCCGCACAAGCGGUGGAGCAUGUGGUUUAAUUCGAAGCUACGCGAAGAACCUUACCAGGUCUUGACAUCUUGCGCCAACCCUAGAGAUAGGGCGUUUCCUUCGGGAACGCAAUGACAGGUGGUGCAUGGUCGUCGUCAGCUCGUGUCGUGAGAUGUUGGGUUAAGUCCCGCAACGAGCGCAACCCUUGUUACUAGUUGCCAGCAUUAAGUUGGGCACUCUAGUGAGACUGCCGGUGACAAACCGGAGGAAGGUGGGGGAGAAAAUCAAAUAAUCAUGGCCCCUUAUGAACUGGGGGUAACAACCUGGUUACAAUGGAAGGUGACAACAAAUUCCCAG
rnacentral:rRNA from 1 species